UAUUCCAUGCGCAUCCCAAAAUACAGACGCCUUAACCUUGCCAGCCGACUUUUGCUUUUUUCCAUGCUUUGGGGCGGUUUCAUCGUGUGCAGUCCACUCCGAUGACUGUCGCUGGAUUUCGGAGUGAAAUUAUAGAGCCAAGUUUCAUCCAUUGUGACACUGCUCUGAAUAAUCAACUCGCCGUUGUUUUUGGUCAAAAGCGAGCUCGCGUGGCACUCACUUUACACAAAACAUUCUCACCAACUCUACCCAAAUAUUCGUCAAAGUCACACAAUCGCUGAGGUUUUCAUUAAUGGAUUCGGCCGGUGAAGGCAACUCUCCAUUUCAGCAAAAUCUUGUUAUUUUUAUUGAAACUCCUUCGAACGCGGUAUUCAUACGUACACACAUACACAUCGUACACUGCUUUGCUUUGGACUUUUGUUGUCACCCACGAAAGGAUGCUGGUGAUUAUCGAAAAGAUACACACACACACCGACGGAGAAAGAGCUUUUCUUUAAAAAAAAAGAUCCACCAGAAUGAAACUGUUUAAAAUCACUUGAGAAAUAACGGUAAAACAAUUUAAAUGCACCGUGGACGCGUUCACGUUACACCGCUGCUGAAAUCGAGUUCUGCGCGAUUUGUGAACGGACGGACGUACAUUGGCGAACUGUCGACUGCGUCCGGCGACCAGCUGCCAAGCAAUGGCUGUCGGACCAGCACUCAGCCUUGUAGCGGGAGAUGAGAGCACAACAACAACGAUCGCCAGACUUACAAUUGAAUGAAUAAAGUGAAUUAAAAUGACACUGAAGCCGAAAUCGAAUUCGAAAUCACAACGAGCAGCAAACAACAAACGGUUCAACACGGCAUAUGGGACAAACGAAGUGUCCGGUUUCUUGGAAGAGCGCCAACGCACCCACACACACGCCAUACACACACAUAAUACACUUGGUAACUUCAGUUAUUGCAAAAAACAUAUUAAAAAUAUUGAAACAUUAGAGAAAAACACUUGUCUUCGAGUAGAGGACGACUGCGACUCCGAAGGGGGAACUACUUUUAUUUUUGUGCAGUCGUAUGGUUAAAGCGUUUACCAUGAAAAGUCACGAAACUGCCUGGAAAGUUAAAAGUGAGAGAGACAAUUUCGUGAAUAAGUGCGUGAGAGCGUUAAAUGUAACAGCAAAAAAAUUGAGAAAUGUGGCUGAUUAGGGUAGCAGAUAAUACAUGAGCUGGUCAAAUUUUGGUCAUUGGCGAAGUCGGAAAGUGUUGGGAUAAAUUAAAAUACUUAAUUCAUAACCGGAAUGCAGACGAUUUUUGCUCAAUAAUGGCGGCCCUUUGCAAGGAGGUAAAUCCGUUAAAGCUUAGACCAAAUUAAACGGAAAUGUAAGCUAGAUUUACUUAGUUACGUCCGUCUGCAUCCUAUUCUGCGUUAGUACUGCAUAUAACCUUUCAUCACAACUGCAAAAUUUGUGUCGGAAACCAGCAGCGCCUUGGGUGGCUUUGACUCUGGGAAGAUGAAACACUGUCUUUUCAGUGAUGAGAGGCUGCUGAAGUGGGCAGUAUAUUAACAGACUUUCAAGGAGUAUUAAAACUUUCAUAUUAACAAAAUAAUCCAAAUUUGUUUAAAAGAAUAAUUUCACUCAUAACAAUCUUCACUUUACGUUCCGGUCAAGGCGAAAAUUAACAUUACGUGCUUCAUUAAAACUCAGAA